rnacentral:rRNA from 1 species
AAUGAACGUUGGCGGCGUGGAUUAGGCAUGCAAGUCGUGCGAGAAGUCUUUUGCUUGCAUUAGACGGACAGCGGCGAAAGGGAGAGUAACGCGUGGAUUACCAACCCCCAGGUCCGGGAUAGCGGCGGGAAACUGCCGGUAAUACCGGAUGAUAUCUCCGGAUCAAAGGUGAGAUUCCGCCUGGGGACGGGUCCGCGUCCUAUUAGCUUGUUGGUGGGGUAACGGCCUACCAAGGCAACGAUGGGUACCGGGCGUGAGAGCGUGGCCCGGCUCACUGGGACUGAGACACUGCCCAGACACCUACGGGUGGCUGCAGUCGAGAAUCUUCGGCAAUGGACGAAAGUCUGACCGAGCGACGCCGCGUGCGGGAUGAAGGCCUUCGGGUUGUAAACCGCUGUCAGUUGGGAGGAAAUCACAUGGGGUUCUCCCUGUGUGUUGACCUAUCUUCAGAGGAAGUACGGCUAAGU